GAGGGGGCUUUCCUUUUAAUAUUCCCCGCAGAUCUCCUCAGAGCUGCCACAUGGCCUCUGCACGCAGCUUAAUCUGCAUUUGAGUGAGACUGCCCUACAAGGAUGCGGCAGUAAUCCUUAAGGCAUCUUACAAAGUGGGGAAGAAAUCCCACAACAGUUCUUGCAUCGCCUGUGUAGGCCCCCAGAGCACCUAUCUCUUACCUGAGGGUACAGCAUGAGGUGGGCCCUGAGGUUAUUUCAGGAUCCGGCCCUGGUUGUCCCUGGUGGGUUUGUGGCGCAUGCCAGGGUGGCAGUGGGGAGAGGCUUCUGACGCUCCGGCCUUCGGAUGACUGAGCAUCGGCACUUGCCAGGGGGAAGGCUAGGAAGGAGUGGAGCCUGCGCAAAGCCAGCUCUGAGCCUGCGGCAGUGCAGUGGAAACUUACUCUGGCACUCGCCGCCCGCUGAGCAGAGCAGAGCAGAGCAGAGCAACGCUUGUGCUGCACGCCCAACCAAUUGCAGGCUGGGGCACAGUGGUUCACACCCCUCCCAAGGUGCUCAGCUCAACUGCCAAGGAGGCCAGUAGCAGAGAAAAGGAGGGCAGGGUAGGCCAUAACAGGUCAGAGCGCAACGCGGCAGGGCAGUUCUAUUAGCCCCGUCGACUCUCUCACCUCGAGGAGUGUGGUGAGGGGGGCUGUAGAGAGUCCACUCCUAGCGCAGGCCGGACCGCUGAGGAGGGAAUAGAAAUGCUCUCAUCUUGUAUCGCCGGCGCUCACAGGAGGCAAGGUGCUGUGCUGUGUGAAGCACCAAAGAGACUGUUACUAAGAGGACUGAGAGCAGAGCACUGGUGAAGAAAGUGAGUCAUGUUAUGUGCGUGUGUGUGCGUGUCUGAGUGUGUGUGUGUGUGCAUGUGUGUGCGUGUCUGAGUAUGUGUGUGUGUGCUCGUUUACAUUUCAGUUCAAAAGGCCCUGCACGCUCUCAGUUCUCUCUGAAAGUUUCAUUUUUCUCGCUCACCUCAAAAUGUCUGUUACGGCUCUGCAGCCCAAUGUAGCCCCUCAGAGGAACUAUGUUGAGUGUGGUGUCUUCAAACACACACACACACACACCAGACACACACACACACACACACACACAUUCUUUCUCUCACAGACACACACACAC